AGGAAGAUGCGGAAAGAACAUGAUUACUGAAGGACGUCCAGACUGUAAAGGAAAGCAGAAGGAUCGGACUGUACCUGAUGUUACUUACUCUACUGUAACCCACAUUAACACAGCCGGAGCAGCACGAGUCCAGAUCAACGUUGUAGAGAAAACUGAAUAUGCCAGCAUUAUAAAUAAUCCAAAGUAAAUAUAAAUACAUUUAUAUAUGUAAUUUUUUUUUGUACCAUAAAAAGCAAAUUCAACAGAUUUAUCCAGAGUAUUGUGUUACAUUUACUUAUGUUAGCUAAGGGUAUUGUUCUGCAUUCACUUUGUCUGUUAAUGAAUAAAAAAACGGAUAAAACUGGA